rnacentral:rRNA from 1 species
AUACGGAGGGUGCAAGCGUUAUCCGGAUUCACUGGGUUUAAAGGGUGCGUAGGUGGGUUGAUAAGUCAGUGGUGAAAUCCCCGAGCUUAACUUGGGAACUGCCAUUGAUACUAUUGAUCUUGAAUACCGUGGAGGUCAGCGGAAUAUGUCAUGUAGCGGUGAAAUGCUUAGAUAUGACAUAGAACACCAAUUGCGAAGGCAGCUGGCUACGCGAAUAUUGACACUGAUGCAUGAAAGCGUGGGGAUCAAACAG